GAUGAAGACGUAGCGAAAUGCGAUAAGUAAUGUGAAUUGCAGAAUUCAGUGAAUCAUCGAAUCUUUGAACGCACAUUGCGCCCGCCAGUAUUCUGGCGGGCAUGCCUGUUCGAGCGUCAUUUCAACCAUCAAGCCCCCGGGCUUGUGUUGGGGACCUGCGGCUGCCGCAGGCCCUGAAAAGCAGUGGCGGGCUCGCUGUCACACCGAGCGUAGUAGAUUUUAUCUCGCUCUGGGCGUGCUGCGGGUUCCGGCCGUUAAACCACCCUUUUAACCCAAGGUUGACCUCGGAUCAGGUAGGAAGACCCGCUGAACUUAAGCAUAUCAAUAAGCGGAGGA
rnacentral:misc_RNA from 1 species